GGAAGGAACUAACAGGGAUUCCCCUAGUAACUGCGAGUGAAGCGGGAAAAGCUCAAAUUUAAAAUCUGGUAGUCUCUGGCUGCCCGAGUUGUAAUCUAGAGAAGUGUUAUCCGCGCUGGACCGUGUACAAGUCUCCUGGAAUGGAGCGUCAUAGAGGGUGAGAAUCCCGUCUUUGACACGGACUACCAGGGCUUUGUGAUGCGCUCUCAAAGAGUCGAGUUGUUUGGGAAUGCAGCUCUAAAUGGGUGGUAAAUUCCAUCUAAAGCUAAAUAUUGGCGAGAGACCGAUAGCGAACAAGUACCGUGAGGGAAAGAUGAAAAGAACUUUGGAAAGAGAGUUAAAUAGUACGUGAAAUUGUUGAAAGGGAAACGCUUGAAGUCAGUCGCGUUGGCUAGGAAUCAGCCUUGCUUUUGCUUGGUGUACUUCCUUGUUGACGGGUCAGCAUCAAUUUUGACCGGUGGAAAAAGGCUAGUGGAAUGUGGCAUCUUCGGAUGUGUUAUAGCUGCUAGUUGUAUACAUCGGUUGGGAUUGAGGAACUCAGCACGCCGAAAGGUCGGGGUUUUGCCCACGUUCGUGCUUAGGAUGCUGGCAUAAUGGCUUUAAUCGACCCGUCUUGAAACACGGACCAAGGAGUCUAACAUGCCUGCGAGUGUUUGGGUGGAAAACCCGAGCGCGUAAUGAAAGUGAAAGUUGAGAUCCCUGUCGUGGGGAGCAUCGACGCCCGGACCAGACCUUUUGUGACGGAUCCGCGGUAGAGCAUGUAUGUUGGGACCCGAAAGAUGGUGAACUAUGCCUGAAUAGGGUGAAGCCAGAGGAAACUCUGGUGGAGGCUCGUAGCGAUUCUGACGUGCAAAUCGAUCGUCAAAUUUGGGUAUAGGGGCGAAAGACUAAUCGAACCAUCUAGUAGCUGGUC
rnacentral:rRNA from 1 species